rnacentral:sRNA from 1 species
CUGUUUCAAUUUGUUGGGGACAUAUAAAGUGAAUAUGGCUAUCAAUACCCCCCGCAGUGAGAAUCAUUCCUUCUCCUGCAACUAUCUCGGUACUAGCUCCGAUAAUAAUAUCUACUUUAUCCUGUAUGUAAGGAUUUCCCGCCUUACCAAUCUUGCAGAUAUUGCCGUCUUUUAGCCCCACAUCUGCUUUAACAAUUCCCCACCAAUCCAAAAUUAAAGCAUUGGUAAUCACAGUAUCUACCGCCCCAUCUUCCCUAGAUAUGGGGGACUGCCCCAUACCAUCUCUAA